CGAACCAGGCUGUCGGCCAUUUUGUGUCUGUUUCCUGUGAGACGCGGUCGUAGCCGUUGGGCCGGAAAAGUGUGCGAUUUUCGCCUCGUUUUUGUGCUGGUUUUCUCCCCUCUUUUAGCUUAUCGGUAGAACGCAAUUAUGGGGCGCAAGAAGAAGAAGCAGCUGAAGCCGUGGUGCUGGUAUUGUAAUAGAGAUUUUGAUGAUGAGAAGAUCCUUAUACAGCACCAAAAGGCAAAGCAUUUUAAAUGCCAUAUAUGUCACAAGAAAUUGUACACAGGACCUGGCUUAGCUAUUCACUGCAUGCAGGUGCAUAAGGAGACAAUAGAUGCUGUACCAAAUGCAAUACCUGGGAGAACAGACAUAGAGUUGGAAAUAUAUGGUAUGGAAGGUAUUCCAGAAAAGGACAUGGACGAAAGACGACGACUUCUUGAACAGAAAACACAAGCAGAGAGUCAGAAAAAGAAGCAACAAGAUGAUUCUGAUGAAUAUGAUGAUGACGAUUCUGCAGCUUCAACUUCAUUUCAACCACAGCCUGUUCAGCCUCAACAAGGUUAUAUUCCCCCAAUGGCGCAGCCAGGACUGCCACCAGUUCCAGGAGCACCAGGAAUGCCUCCAGGCAUACCUCCAUUAAUGCCAGGUGUUCCUCCUCUGAUGCCAGGAAUGCCACCAGUUAUGCCAGGCAUGCCACCUGGAUUGCAUCAUCAGCGAAAAUACACCCAGUCAUUUUGCGGUGAAAACAUAAUGAUGCCAAUGGGUGGAAUGAUGCCACCUGGACCAGGAAUACCACCUCUCAUGCCUGGCAUGCCUCCAGGCAUGCCCCCACCUGUUCCACGUCCUGGGAUUCCUCCAAUGACUCAAGCACAGGCUGUUUCAGCGCCAGGUAUUCUUAAUAGACCACCUGCACCAACAGCAGCAGUUCCUGCUCCACAGCCUCCGGUUACUAAGCCUCUUUUCCCCAGUGCUGGACAGAUGGGGACACCUGUAACAAGCUCAAGUACAGCUUCAUCCAAUUCAGAAAGUCUGUCUGCAUCUUCUAAAGCUCUGUUUCCUAGCACAGCACAAGCUCAGGCAGCUGUUCAAGGACCUGUUGGUACAGAUUUCAAGCCCUUAAAUAGUACCCCUGCAACAACUACAGAACCCCCAAAGCCUACAUUCCCUGCUUAUACACAGUCUACAGCUUCAACCACUAGUACAACAAAUAGCACUGCAGCUAAACCAGUGACUUCAAUAACAAGUAAGCCUGCUACACUUACAACAACCAGUGCAACCAGUAAGUUGAUCCAUCCAGAUGAGGAUAUAUCACUGGAAGAGAGAAGGGCACAGUUACCUAAGUAUCAGCGUAAUCUCCCUCGACCAGGACAGGCCCCCAUCGGUAAUCCGCCAGUUGGACCAAUUGGAGGUAUGAUGCCACCACAGCCAGGCAUCCCACAGCAACAAGGAAUGAGACCCCCGAUGCCGCCUCAUGGUCAGUAUGGUGGUCAUCAUCAAGGCAUGCCAGGUUACCUUCCUGGUGCUAUGCCACCGUAUGGGCAGGGACCACCAAUGGUGCCCCCUUACCAAGGUGGGCCUCCUCGACCUCCGAUGGGAAUGAGACCUCCUGUAAUGUCGCAAGGUGGCCGUUACUGAUCUUACUUCAUCCAGUCUAAUAGCCCUGCCAUAGGACAGGCUGAGGCUGAGUCUCAGUGUUGCCCUGUUCAGUCUGAGCAGCAGAAUUUCAGCAUUUGCUACUUACUGGUAGAGAAGAAAAAUCCCACAGCCCUGCCAGUACAGGUUAGUUUAAUCUGUAAGUACCUGAUGUUCCUAUUUUUUUUUUUUCAAACAUAUCCAUAUAACCACCAAAGGAAGAGAGCUGUGCAGUUAACUUAAAUGUAAGUAUAAACAGUAACAGACCCAUUGGACACGUCCAAACACACAAUACUUGGGCCAAAGCAGCUCUAGGCUUGCUAUCUUCAGUUAUAAAGGUUUAAUACUGCUCCUUUAUUGCCUGGUAGUGGUUGAACCAAAAUAGCCAUGUUAUACUUAAAAGGAAAAGAGAAUGAAAGUUUGGAUUGGCUGCCCAUGUUGAUAUAUAAUAUGCAGUCCAGGGCUUUGGGUCCAUCUUUUACUUAAGCCAUUCCAUGGUGGUUCUACUAGUCACCUUUUAAUUUUUUUUACAGUUUGAAUUAACCUAAGAAAAAGGGCAAGUUUCCUCACCUCUAGCAAUGAUGAAAUUAUGUAGUCAAGUUAGAAAAUGUUUUUAUACUGCUUUUUCUUAAAUGAUUUUAGUAACUCUUGCUGUAAAUAAGCACUAAUUUUUUUCACCUUUUUUUUGUAAACUUAGUUUGUUGGUGUACCACUAUGGGUUCAUUUUAAUAAAUAAUAACAAACCUUAUUUUUAAAUAUUCAAAUGAAUGGAGAUUACACAUCAAGAAAUCUAGACAAAUUCUUCAUAUAAUCUUUUGGAGGUGCAGUGGGAACUUAAUAGGGGUUGUAGAAGAUGUAUUAAAAAUUCUAUUGUAAUUUCUCAUUCUACCAAAAUUCAGUGUUAUUUUGACCCAUCCUUGAGAGAUUUCCUUUGACCUUAAAUAUUGUAUUUCUAUGUUGAUAAAACUUAAAACAAUGAGUCAACCAUAUAACUUAAUUUCUUCAAGCCUGAACCAUUCUUCCAAACUGUAGCAUUUGCUAUGAUGCCUAGCUACCUCCUUUUCACCUUGAGUAUUAUUGAUUUGCGAUGAUCUGGUCCUAGAACUAGCUGAUCUUGUACUCCUGUUAAACUGAGAUGGUGAUUAACCACCAAGAACAGACUAUCUUAACAUUAUUUCAUACAGAAGUCAUGUGUUCCGUUAAAAAUCUAGAUUUAUCAACUAAUAAAAUACAUCUUACAAGAUAUCUAGUUUUUUUAAACUAGGGCUUAAGUUUCAUUGCCUUUCACAGUUUAAUCUGUAUAAGAAAUGGCGUAGAUACAGCGGAAAUGGUUUUCCUUAAAACCAUCUCUAAAGCUGCCUUUCUGGUGAGUACUACUUUAUACUUUUAUAUAUUGUAAUUUUACCUUUAAAAAUUAACUUGAAAUGAGACACUUAUCAAAGUGAAAAAUCUGAAUUUCUGCAUCUCUGGAUUUUACUUGAACCAGGAAUAUUAGGAGGGUGAUUAGUUUAUUGCCUGACAUUUCUUCGCUAAUCCUGGUUUGCUUUUUUCUAACUUAAAAAACUUUGAACACUUAAGUUAUGUCGUUUUGGUGAAAUGGGGAAAAUGUUCUUUUACUCAAAACUGUCUAGCAUUCAGAUUUUUUUUUUAAGCUUAAGAUUUUCUUUUUAGUUGACAGCCAUAAAUUUUUCUCAAUGCUUUUGGUGCCCACAUUGUAGAAAUAAAAUGCCAGAAUUUAUUUCUGUUGUUCUUGUUGAAGCUCUUUCAGUGAUCCAUGAGCAGUUAGCUGAGGAUUAAGUUAGGGCUUACCUAAAUUGGUCAUGCAUACCAUUUGCUUACAGGUUCUCUUGUAGCUUGAAAUUUUCAAGUGGAUUUAUUAAAUCACUCUCAACCUGCAUGAAAUAUUUAGGUUAGAAAUACUGAUUCCAGGGAGUAUGUACAUCAGUAUAAAUUAGCUUCUGAGUUUAUUUGUAAUGGGUUUUUUUUUUUUUAAACCUUCCCUCAGUAUAAUACAUGGAUUUCUUAGUCAUAUCUUAGCCUCUUAUGUGUGCAGAGUGUUUUCACAUUGUAUUUUCUCCUUUGAUCUUUGUGAACCAGUAAUGAACAACUGAUGCUUUUUAGUAUAUACUGAGCCAUGGGAGUCUUCUAUAAUCUGAAAAGUGAUAUCUGAGUAUGUGACAUGGUAAUGUAUUCUUCUAGAUAAGCACUAAACAAAGUAUGGACCCUCGAUUUAUGUCUCAGUUUAAAAUGAAGUAAAUUUCUAAGGAACUGUGUCCUUUCCUAGCAGAGAUAAACAGUGAAAAAUUGGUAAGUAUGUAAUUUUCAAUGCAUGUAAUGGUGAUGAGAGUAAAGAACCAGAUUGCCAUAGUUUAAGGUAUUACUUAGAAUUGAGCGGUAAUUCUUGAAUCUCCUUUGCAACUUGGUGUAUGUGUGUCUAGUAUUUUUACAGAUUUGUGUGCACAAUGAUUAAAUUGAAACAUACUUUACUCUUUGUCUGGUUUGUUUUCUUUUUAGUGCUCAAAGUACUAAUUUUAUAUUUCAAGCUUUUUUCAGGGUAGAAAUAAGUGGCUGUUAAAGAAAAUAUCUUCAAGAAGAACUAUUUAAAUGUCCCCUUUUAAAAGCCAGUGAUGACUUUCAGUUUAUUUGAGCCUUCUGUUUUUCAGCUUCAGUUGAAACUGAUAAUAGGCAGCUGAUCAAAAAUAGAAAAAGAGAUCCUUGUGCCCUUUCUGUAAUAGUGUAGAAAUCCGUGUAUAAUAAUAAAUGGCAUAAAGCCAACACUUGAUUUACAUGGUAACAGUGCUUUUUAAAUUAAGGGAGGGGAGAAAGGGUAAUGAAAUUUGGAGUCAAGCCCCUCCUCCCUUUCUCUGGGACAUUGUGUGAACAGUAAAUAUUGACUAGAAAGAUAAUAAAUGUAGUUAAAAAGUGAAGAGAGUUUAAUUGCUGCAUCAGGGACGAUAAUUUAUUUCUAAGGAAUAUGUCCAUUUCUUUUCCAUAUAGCCUAACCUUAUUUUGUGAAGCACAGUACAAGAUCUCAAAGGGUUGUAGGAAAGAGGGGCCUUGUCCCUCAAGUAUGGUUUGCAGGCUUCAUUUUAGCACUGUAUUUGCAGGGGUGGGUGGGUGGUUUAGUGGUUUAAAGUAAUUAAAUACCAACUUUAAAAAUUUACCAACAUUAAAACUGGUAAUUAUUACUUGGGUUUUUGUGGGGUUUUAUUUUAAAAUAAAGUUUUCUUACAGAAGUAAUACAUAUUAAUGCAUCUUGUCAUUUUGAUGUAUCACAUCGCAUGAUUAAAUAGCUCAAAGCUAGUGUAAAAGAAAAACAGAACCAAGAACCAUGUUUAUAGUGUAUAUUCCUAGUUUUAGUCUGGUGGUGUUUGGGGGGAGGAUGAAUGUUCCUUAGUAUAUAUAGUCAUGUAAUUGAUGAUAGCUCUGAAAAGGCACAGGGUUUUUUUGUUUCUUUUUGAAGGAGUUGGUCUAGCUUUUAAGAAAGCCAAAACUGCUAUUUUUUAAAUGGUAUUAUAUCUGAAGCAAUUUUCAGAAGAUUUAUUUUGUUUCUGCAUUAUUGCAAGAAAGCUUUUUUGUUCCAAGGUGAUGGUUGACCGUUCAUUAAUGAAACGUUGAGUGCCUGUUACCUACAGAGAUGAAUAAAAUUUUUCAUUCAUUAUUUAUAA